rnacentral:misc_RNA from 1 species
GAUGAAGAACGUAGUGAAAUGCGAUAAGUAGUGUGAAUUGCAGAAUUCAGUGAAUCAUCGAAUCUUUGAACGCACAUUGCGCCCCUUGGUAUUCCAUGGGGCAUGCCUGUUCGAGCGUCAUCUACACCCUCAAGCUCUGCUUGGUGUUGGGCGUCUGUCCCGCCCCCGCGCGUGGACUCGCCCCAAAUCCAUUGGCAGCGUUCCUUGCCCCCUCUCGCGCAGCACAUUGCGCUUCUCGAGGGCGGCUCCGGGACGCGAUCCAGCAAGAUGACCACCGUCUUUGACCUCGGAUCAGGUAGGGAUACCCGCUGAACUUAAGCAUAUCAAUAAGCGGAGGA